UACGUCGGGGGCAAGCGUUGUCCGGAUUUAUUGGGCGUAAAGAGCGUGUAGGCGGCUUUACAGGUCCGUUGUGAAAACUCGAGGCUCAACCUCGAGACGCCGGUGGAAACCGUAAAGCUAGAGUCCGGAAGAGGAGAGUGGAAUUCCUGGUGUAGCGGUGAAAUGCGCAGAUAUCAGGAAGAACACCCGUGGCGAAGGCGGCUCUCUGGGACGGUACUGACGCUGAGACGCGAAAGCGUGGGGAGCGAACAGG
rnacentral:rRNA from 1 species